AUACGAAGGGGGCAAGCGUUGUGCGGAAUAACUGGGCGUAAAGCGCACGUAGGCGGAUUGAUCAGUUAGAGGUGAAAUCCCAGGGCUCAACCCUGGAACUGCCUUUAAUACUGUCAGUCUAGAGAUCGAGAGAGGUGAGUGGAAUUCCGAGUGUAGAGGUGAAAUUCGUAGAUAUUCGGAGGAACACCAGUGGCGAAGGCGACUCACUGGCUCGAUACUGACGCUGAGGUGCGAAAGCGUGGGGAGCAAACAGGAUUAGAAACCCCGGUAGUCC
rnacentral:rRNA from 1 species